rnacentral:rRNA from 1 species
UGCGGUUAAAAAGCUCGUAGUUGGAUCUCGGCGGGCAGGGGGUGGUUCGCUCUUCAGCGCUACUGCCCCGCUUUGCCCGUGUGAUUGGCGGAGGUUUCGGGGUGCUCUUCGUUGAGUGACUCGGAGCGCCGUCAGGUUUACUUUGAAAAAAUCAGAGUGCUCAAAGCAGGCUUUUCACGCUUGAAUAUUCGUGCAUGGAAUAAUGGAAUAGGAACUCGUUUCUAUUUUGUUGGUUUUCGGAAAUCGAGUUAAUGAUUAACAGGGACAAUUGGGGGCAUUAGUAUUCAGACGACAGAGGUGAAAUUCUUGGACCGUCUGAAGACUGACUACUGCGAAAGCAUUUGCCAAGAGUGUUUUCAUUAGUCAAGAACGAAAGUUAGAGGUUCGAAGGCGAUCAGAUACCGCCCUAGUUCUAACCAUAAACGAUGCCAGCUAGCGAUCUGCCGAGUUUUUUUUGUAGGCUCCGCAGGAAGCUUUCGGGAAACCAAAGCUUUUGGGUUCCGGGGGAAGUAUGGUUGCAAAGCUGAAA